GGUACUUCCAAAAUUUAUGUGCAAGACUUGUGAGAACAUGGAGGAAAACUCUCAAAAGAUAGAUGAAGUAAACAAGGAAAAGCAACAUGAGUUAGGGCAAAGUUUAAUAAGCACCUUGAAGGGUUCAAUUUUGACAUUGAUGUAAAAGAACCAAUACAAGAUGCUAAGAAAUAAUUAGUGCUGGAUUUACAUAUUAGAUCAAUGGGGUUUGCUCCUGCUGUGGGAAAAAUUGAGAAGAAAAAGAAAACGGUUUGUGGAGAAAGAGAUCACCAGUAUGAUGGUUGUUAUUGUGAAUUUGAAUUGGGUGGAAGUGAUUUUGAGUUGGGAUCCUCUGACAUUAAUAUCCUCAAGGAAGAUUAAUUUGAGUUGUGGAGGAGAUAAAGGAAGAAAAUAAAUGGUCUAUCAAUAGAGAGU
rnacentral:misc_RNA from 1 species